GAGACAGUCACGUUGAUGGUGACAGCAGCAGUGACCGUAGCAGCCUAGAGGUGGCCGAAUGCUUACUCUAAUGGGCUGGCCCAUCCCUGAGUGUCUAGAGUUCCCAGCCCGCUUAAGGAAGGAAGGAAAACACAGGCAGCUCUAAGUGUACGACGAGGGAGGUCUCAUCGGCGAGUCUUGCUCUGUCGCCCAGGCUGGAGUGCAGUGGCGCGAUCUCGGCUCACUGCAAGCUCCGCCUCCCGGUUCAAGUGAUGCUCCUGCUUCGGCCUCCUGAGUAGCUGGGACUACAGAACUGCGUAGCGCCUUAUACGCUGCGGCAAGUGUGACGUCAUUCGAACAAACCAUAGGCCCCGCCCCCGGACUAGCCACGCCCACAGGCUCCUGAAACCACCAAUCCCAGCUGUGACAGCGCUCAGGACCGAUGCUCAUAGGUCCCGUCCCU
rnacentral:lncRNA from 1 species